rnacentral:lncRNA from 1 species
GUUGAACAGAACAUGUGUGAGCAGCUCAGCUUUCUCGAAAGCCUCUUAUUCACCUGGAUAAAGUGUCCAAACACAGAGAAAAACUCCUGCUGAAGUGACUGAUCUCCACACUGUUAUUAAGAUGGCGUUCAUUAAAGAGGAGAGUGAAGAUGUGAAGAUUGAAGAAACAUUCACAGUCAAACAGGAAGAUCUGCAGGAACAAACAG